ensembl:lncRNA
GUGGAGACUAACUAUGAAAUGCUUACUGACAGAGACUUACCAACAAAGCGGCCGCGUAGCCUAGUGGUUAGAGUGUAGGGGCGGCAGCGUAGCCUAGUAGUUAGAGUGUAGGGGCGGCAGCGUGGCCUAGUGGAUAGAGUGUAGGGGCGGCAGGUAGCCUAGUGGUUAGAGUGGAGGGGCGGCAGGUAGCCUAGUGGUUAGAGUGGAGGGGCGGCAACGUAGCCUAGUGGUUAGAGUGUAGGGACAGGCAGGUAGCCUAUUGGUUAGAGUGGAGGGGCAGCAGCGUAGCCUAGUGGCUAGAGUGUAGGGGCGGCAGCGUAACCUAGUGGUUAGAGUGUAGGGGCGGCAGGUAGCCUAGUGGUUAGAGUGGAGGGGCGGCAGGUAGCCUAGUGGUUAGAGUGGAGGGGCGGCAGGGUAGCCUAGUGGUUAGAGUGUAGGGGCGGCAGCGUAGCCUAGUGGUUAGAGUGUAGGCACAGGCACGUAGCCUAGUGGUUAGAGUGGAGGGGCGGCAGGGUAGCCUAGUGGUUAGAGUGUAGGGACAGGCAGGUAGCCUAGUGGUUAGAGUGUAGGGGCGGCAGCGUAGCCUAGUGGUUAGAGUGUAGGGGCGGCAGGGUAGCCUAGUGGUUAGAGUGUAGGGGCGGCAGGUAGUCUAGUGGUUAGAGUGUAGGGGCGGCAGGGUAGCCUAGUGGUUAGAGUGUAGGGGUGGCAGCGUAGCCUAGUGGUUAGAGUGUAGGGACAGGCAGGUAGCCUAGUGGUUAGAGUGGAGGGGCGGCAGGUAGCCUAGUGGUUAGAGUGGUGGGGCGGCAGGUAGCCUAGUGGUUAGAGUGUAGGGGUGGCAGCGUAGCCUAGUG